rnacentral:misc_RNA from 1 species
CAAAUUACAAAAACAUCAAGGGUAACCAUAUGAAUUUGGAAGUCCAAUCACACAGAUGACAGACCAAAUCAGUAGGUUACCACUUUAAUUAUUUAAAUAGAAAUUUAAAUCACUAAGUUAGCCAACAAAUACUUUAAGGGUUGUUAUUAAGCAGAAAAAUAAAUACAUUAUACAAUGCAUAAAAAGACAUCAACGCAACAACUGAAGUCAAAUCUUAUUUGCAUUUUUUAUAGAAAAAUCCGAAUUAUGAGGAAUGGAGAAAAGAGGACAACCAUAAGCAAAAAUAUUUUGUUCAACCACCUUAGUAACCAAUUAAGCAGGAAUUAAACAAAAAAUAAUAAAUAAAAGACAGAACAUACCAUUAGGUAUAUCUUUCAGUGGGGU